rnacentral:rRNA from 1 species
CCUACGGGUGGCAGCAGUGGGGGAUAUUGCACAAUGGGGGGAACCCUGAUGCAGCGACGCCGCGUGGGUGAAGGAGUGCUUCGGCAUGUAAAGCCCUAUCGGCAGGGAAGAAGCAAGACGGUACCUGACUAAGAAGCCCCGGCGAACUACGUGCCAGCAGCCGCGGUAAUACGUAGGGGGCGAGCGUUAUCCGGAUUCACUGGGUGUAAAGGGAGCGUAGACGGCCAAGCAAGCCAGGGGUGAAAGCCCGGGGCCCAACCCCGAGACUGCCCUUGGAACUGAGUGGCUAGAGUGCGGGAGGGGCAGGCGGAAUUCCUGGUGUAGCGGUGAAAUGCGUAGAUAUCAGGAGGAACACCGGCGGCGAAGGCGGCCUGCUGGACCGCGACUGACGUUGAGGCUCGAAAGCGUGGGGAGCGAACAGGAUUAGAUACCCGAGUAGUC